CAAAAACAUAGCCCCAGAAAAAAUCUGAGGUGUAACCUGCCCAAUGGUUUUUAAUCAGAGUUGUAGAGAAUUCGAAAUAAAACUUAAAGGACGCGGUAACCUUGACCGUGAUAAUGUAGCGUAAUCACUCGCCACUUAAUUAGUGGAUAGUAUGAAUGGUUGAACGAAUAUCCCACUGUCUUAGAUAAAAUCACAGAAAAUUGAAGUAAUAGUUAAGAUGCUAUUUCAAACUGUAAGACGAAAAGACCCUAUAGAGCUUGACUAUAGCCUUUCCAUUUAAAUAAAAAAGAAUUUUUCACAGCUGGAAAGGUUGGUAGUUUAGUUGGGGCGACUGUCUCUUAAAUAUAACAGAGNCAAGCAAAGUUAAUAAAGAACUUAUUGUAUAAUAAAAAUAUUUAACAAUUACAAAAGUAGGCUAUAGUGACCCGUUAAAUCCGAAAAAAAGGGAUAACGAUCAAUUAAUAAAAGCUACCUUAGGGAUAACAGGAUAAUUUUAUUUUAGAGUUCGGAUCGAAAAUGAAGUUUGUCACCUCUAUGUUGAAUUGAGAU
rnacentral:rRNA from 1 species